rnacentral:rRNA from 1 species
UACGAAGGGGGCUAGCGUUGCUCGGAAUCACUGGGCGUAAAGGGUGCGUAGGCGGGUCUUUAAGUCAGGGGUGAAAUCCUGGAGCUCAACUCCAGAACUGCCUUUGAUACUGAGGAUCUUGAGUUCGGGAGAGGUGAGUGGAACUGCGAGUGUAGAGGUGAAAAUUCGUAGAUAUUCGCAAGAACACCAGUGGCGAAGGCGGCUCACUGGAUCGGUACUGACGCUGAGGUGCGAAAGCGUGGGGAGCAAACAGGG